UGGGUUUAUUUCUGGACUCUUUAUUCUGUUCCACUGAUCUGUGUUCUGUUUUGGUGCCAGUACCAUAUUGUUUUGAUGCCUGUAGCUUUGUAGCAUAGUCCAAAGUCAGGGAGUGUGUCUCCUCCAACUCUGUUCUUUUUUCCUAAGAUUGUUUUGGCUAUUAUGGUCUGCUGUGUUUCCAUACAAAUUUUAAAAUUAUUUGUUCUAGUUCUGUGAAAAAUACCAUUGGUAUUUUGAUAAUGAUUGCAAUGAAUCUGUAGAUGGCCUUGGGGAGUAUGGUCAUUUUACCAAUAUUAAUUCUUCAAAUCUGUGAACAUGGUAUAUCUUUCCAUCUGUUUGUAUUAUCUUCAGUGUCUGUUAU